UACGUAGGCAGCAAGCGUUGUUCGGAAUUACUGGGCGUAAAGAGUGUGUAGGCGGUGCUCCAAGUCUGGUGUGAAAUCUCCCGGCUUAACUGGGAGGGUGCAUUAGAAACUGGAAUGCUAGAGGAUGGGAGAGGUAAGCGGAAUUCCUGGUGUAGCGGUGAAAUGCGUAGAUAUCAGGAGGAACACCUGUGGUGUAGACGGCUUUCUGGACCAUUGCUGACGCUGAGACACGAAAGCGUGGGUAGCAAACAGG
rnacentral:rRNA from 1 species